UACAGGGGGUGCAAACGUUGCUCGGAAUCAUUGGGCGUAAAGCGCGUGUAGGCGGCCCGAUAAGUCCGCUGUGAAAGUCCAGGGCUCAACCCUGGGAUGCCGGUGGAUACUGUCGGGCUCGAGUCCGGAAGAGGCGAGUGGAAUUCCUGGUGUAGCGGUGAAAUGCGCAGAUAUCAGGAGGAACACCAAUGGCGAAGGCAGCUCGCUGGGACGUGACUGACGCUGAGACGCGAAAGCGUGGGGAGCAAACAGG
rnacentral:rRNA from 1 species